rnacentral:rRNA from 1 species
AUACGGAGGAUGCGAGCGUUAUCCGGAUUUAUUGGGUUUAAAGGGUGCGUAGGCGGGAUUUUAAGUCAGCGGUGAAACGCAAGGGCUCAACCCUUGACCUGCCGUUGAAACUGGAGUUCUUGAAUGCGGAUGCUGUGGGAGGAAUGUGUGGUGUAGCGGUGAAAUGCAUAGAUAUCACACAGAACACCGAUUGCGAAGGCAUCUCACAAAUCCGUGAUUGACGCUGAGGCACGAAAGUGUGGGGAUCAAACAGGAUUAGAUACCCUGGUAGUCCACACUGUAAACGAUGAUAACUCGCUGUCGGCGAUACACAGUCGGUGGCCAAGCGAAAGCGAUAAGUUAUCCACCUGGGGAGUACGACCGCAAGGUUGAAACUCAAAUGAAUUGACGGGG